rnacentral:rRNA from 1 species
GUCGAACGCUGAGCUUGGUGCUUGCACUGGGUGGAUGAGUGGCGAACGGGUGAGUAAUACGUGAGUAACCUGCCCUUGACUCUGGGAUAAGCCUGGGAAACUGGGUCUAAUACUGGAUACGACAUGUCACCGCAUGGUGGUGUGUGGAAAGGGUUUUACUGGUUUUGGAUGGGCUCACGGCCUAUCAGCUUGUUGGUGGGGUAAUGGCUCACCAAGGCGACGACGGGUAGCCGGCCUGAGAGGGUGACCGGCCACACUGGGACUGAGACACGGCCCAGACUCCUACGGGAGGCAGCAGUGGGGAAUAUUGCACAAUGGGCGAAAGCCUGAUGCAGCGACGCCGCGUGAGGGAUGACGGCCUUCGGGUUGUAAACCUCUUUCAGCACGGAAGAAGCGAAAGUGACGGUACGUGCAGAAGAAGCGCCGGCUAACUACGUGCCAGCAGCCGCGGUAAUACGUAGGGCGCAAGCGUUGUCCGGAAUUAUUGGGCGUAAAGAGCUCGUAGGCGGUUUGUCGCGUCUGCUGUGAAAGCCCGGGGCUUAACCCCGGGUGUGCAGUGGGUACGGGCAGACUUGAGUGCAGUAGGGGAGACUGGAAUUCCUGGUGUAGCGGUGAAAUGCGCAGAUAUCAGGAGGAACACCGAUGGCGAAGGCAGGUCUCUGGGCUGUUACUGACGCUGAGGAGCGAAAGCAUGGGGAGCGAACAGGAUUAGAUACCCUGGUAGUCCAUG